rnacentral:rRNA from 1 species
CAGCCGCCGCGGUAAUACGUAGGUGGCAAGCAUUGUCCGGAAUUAUUGGGCGUAAAGGGCUCGCAGGCGGUUUCUUAAGUCUGAUGUGAAAGCCCCCGGCUCAACCGGGGAGGGUCAUUGGAAACUGGGAAACUUGAGUGCAGAAGAGGAGAGUGGAAUUCCACGUGUAGCGGUGAAAUGCGUAGAGAUGUGGAGGAACACCAGUGGCGAAGGCGACUCUCUGGUCUGUAACUGACGCUGAGGAGCGAAAGCGUGGGGAGCGAACAGGAUUAGAUACCCGCGUAGUCCCUGUCUCUUAUAA